rnacentral:rRNA from 1 species
UACGUAGGUGGCAAGCGUUGUCCGGAUUUAUUGGGUUUAAAGGGUGCGUAGGCGGCCCUGUAAGUCAGUGCUGAAAUAUCCCGGCUUAACCGGGAGGGUGGCAUUGAUACUGCAGGGCUUGAGUACAGAUGAAGUAGGCGGAAUUGACGGUGUAGCGGUGAAAUGCAUAGAUAUCGUCAAGAACACCGAUAGCGAAGGCAGCUUGCUAAGCUGUAACUGACGCUGAGGCACGAAAGUGUGGGGAUCAAACAGG